ACAUUUGUAGUGUAGGGGUUAUCAUCUGAGCUUCCCAUGCUUAGGACCCGGGUUCGAGUCCCGGCGGAUGUA
rnacentral:tRNA from 1 species